rnacentral:lncRNA from 1 species
UCGAGAAUCUAAGUGGAGUCAAAGUUCUGCUUCACCAAGGCCCACAAAAUGCAGUAGACUCAUUCCAGUUGUCCAGAGUCCACCCACUUUGAACUUAGAACAAAGAGAACUCUCCAUCCAGAGUUUGGAUAACUCUCCCAUCAAGGUUAACUGACAUUGAGGGAGACUUGCUUUUUCACACAUGGCCUGAGUUCCUUCCUUCCCAGCACGCCUGCCUGCCAAAUCUCAUCCCUACCUCUGCCUGAGGCCUCCAGA